CAGCAGCCGCGGGAAUACAGAGGGUGCGAGCGUUAAUCGGAUUUACUGGGCGUAAAGCGUGCGUAGGCGGCUUUUUAAGUCGGAUGUGAAAUCCCUGAGCUUAACUUAGGAAUUGCAUUCGAUACUGGGAAGCUAGAGUAUGGGAGAGGAUGGUAGAAUUCCAGGUGUAGCGGUGAAAUGCGUAGAGAUCUGGAGGAAUACCGAUUGCGAAGGCAGCCAUCUGGCCUAAUACUGACGCUGAGGUACGAAAGCAUGGGGAGCAAACAGGAUUAGAUACCCCUGUAGUCCCUGUCUCUUAUAC
rnacentral:rRNA from 1 species